UUACGUUCCCUAAGCACCAACGACUCACCCCUUUGAGACGGCUGCAAGGAAAAGCGGUGUAAAGAAAAGGGAAAGGCUCAUCCCAAAUUCGGCAGCUGCGUAGCCUCCGGGUGGCCACUUGGCACUGCAUCCAGGGUGUUCCGCGCCUAGGCAGAUACAUCCAGAGCCCUUCGCCUAAAGCAGAGUAAACCGGACCUGUCUUCAGUGUGUUCUGCGUAUCCUACUUGUCCAUCUUUAAACUUGAGUGUGUCCCCUGUCAUCAGAGCGAAGUGCCCCCAAGAAUCUUGGAACCUAGGUUUCCACGUGGCAUUGACAAGAGUGACAAUGCCAGGCAGCACAGGGAAAGAGAAGUUGCUGAGCUUCAGUCUGUGGAGGGAUUUAACGACAAAGAGUUUAAAAAGAACAGGAAUCCCUAUGGCUAUAGAGUAAAUUCCUUCGCACUUCAUCAAAGGAAGAUCCUACUGCACAGAUUCUCAACUGACAGAGGACUCAGAAACCAUCACUGCAACAUUUUCUACACUAGUAGCUUCAUGUGUUCGAGUGCAGGAUAAAAUCACUGGACAGUUUUAUGCUUAUUGGUUUUAUUUUUAAUAUAGUUAGUCAGACUACAAGGACCUGAACAUGUUGUUAUAUAUGGUACUCUGAUCAUGACACCUCAAAUGUCAAAAUCUCAAAUCUUUCCAGAAAGAAUUGUGACUAUGUAACCUUCGACUGUCAAUUGUAUCAUAGUCACUUAUUUGAUGAUGGAGAGUUUAGCUGAAAAUUUGUUGUUAUUAAUUUAGUUUAUUUGUCUUUUUCCCCUAGAUUCCCCUUGAAACUACAAUUCUUGAUAUAUUGAUUUACUAAACAUUUUUGAAAGACUACUAUAAGCAAGGCAUUUGAUAGGAUUUGUAGAUGAAACAACUCUUCUUCUCAAGAACUUAAAGUUUAUCAAGAUAUGUGAAAGUCUAUUAAAUGGAGAAGAGAGUAGAAUAAAUAAGUAGAAGGCAAAAUAAAAUGUCAGUGAAGUAUAAAGCAUACCACCAGCCUGGGGAGGUCUAAAUGCGUAGAAAAAGAGGGUUUUAGCUGGGUUUGGAAGAAAGAAAAGGAUUUGAAAGUAUGGG